GUCAUUUCCCAGCCUCACAUUACCAGUCCCAUCCCUGUUUUCCAGCCAGCCCGAAUGACAAAGCCACUCACAAGAAGUCAUUCAGGGAUUUCCCAAAAGGUGAGGAGGGAAAGGUAGAUAGUAUGGGUUAACAAGAGCAAGCCUCAUUUCCAAGUCUAGAGGGGUGCUCCAGCUAAAUGGACCCCACUUAGCAGCUGCUCCUGCAAGGAACUCUCCUACAUGCAGGGAUACACAAGACUUUCUGGAGAGAAUACAAUGAAGCUGGGGGCUAGAAGAAAAUCAGAAUAUGUGUUCACUCCUCCCUCCCAUAAAGAAGGCUUCAUACAUGUCAAGUCUUUAACUUGAGGAGACUGAAAAAAAAAAAAAAACAAUAUGGAUGGACAUGAGAACUGCCAGGAGGUAGAAAGAGUAUAGAGUCAGUGACCCCCAAGGGUGGGAACAGCUGCUAGGGCAGACACUUGCGUUCUGCUAACAUUCUUUUUUCGAAAAACCAGGCCAUCUCCAGGUAAAAUCCUUCACAAGGAAGAGGAUGGAGUAGGAAAGCUAGGAUUAGCAAGAGAGAUGAUAAGAUGUUUGGGUUACAUGGAGGCAAGCACCUGGAACCAAGUCUUCCCUGCAGACCUGAAGGAUUUCCACGCAGGGCCGUCCUCCCUUGGCUCUCCGGGACAGCCCAUCGCCUCGCAGCAUUCCUCAACACAACGGUGGAGACAGAACAGACAGCUGCUGUCCAAGGGCAAGGAGUGAAGGUUAUUAACAAGUAUGCAGAACACAACCGACACAACAAUCCCUACGGCACCCUGUGGCCUCUGAAUCCUGCCAUGUCUCUCUCCAAGGCCACAACAAAGUGGUCCAUUCAAUACACUGGAGGAGCUGCUGCUGAAUUUCUUAAAACAUGAAAUAGGCAAAAGGAUCCUUAAUCCUGUGUAAUGAAAAUGACACUGAACCAAGACCCAAGAGAUGUAGAUUCCAGUGCUAUCUCUGCUAUAGAUAAGCUUAUGUCCAUUAUUGGGCCUCAUAAAAUAUUUAAAGAAGUUAACAAUUCUGAUAAUAGUAAUGUUAAUGAUGGCUACUUUUUACUAAGCUGCUACACUACUAUGUGCCAGACAGCUAACCUAUUUUAUAUCUAUUCUUUAACACAAACCUAUGAGGCUGUUUCAUGACUUGCGUUUUGCUGAUGAGAGACUUGAACUGAAAAGAGUCCAAAGGACUUGCCAAAGGUCACAGUAACUUAAAAACUUGUGGCUUGAAUUGAUACUUUUCUGUUUUUGACAAAACACAGAAUUCUUGUGUCUGCCGAGACAUCUGGGUGCUAAAAGAAGGGCUCCUUCUCCAUUCAGCUUUCCUUUCCUGCCUGCUCAUCCACAUGGUCUCCCUCAAUUCAUUAGUGUUGCCUGGGAUCCUAUCGUGACCAAGCUUUCUGCCAGACAGAAAGCCUUCAGUGAAGAGUGAUCUGAGGUCCUCUCAGAGCUUCACUGCUAAACCUCUUCAAGUAUUCAGGUAUGGUGAGAUGAACAGACGAGGAGAGAAUGUUUUUGUUUCUGGGAGGAGAGGGCCAUGCUAUGCAGGCCACACUGAGGAGCACCAAGGUAGGUGAGGUGGCAGGGUGGGAAGUGCAGGCAAAGUAUUUAUUCUGUUUUUUUGCAGAGAAUAAUGGGAAAACAAGGUUAGCAGGCCUAGGGUUGUCUAGUUUGAACAAUACCAGCAGGCUUUGGGGUAUAGGGGCUAUCUUGAGCUGUCUCAAACAUGGCCCUGGGAUGAACAGGGGAGAGGAAUAGGCCUCCUACAGAGUAAGAACCAAAUUAUGGGCUAUGGAUUGGUUAGCUUGCAUGAGAAAGGCACAAUCCUGGGUGAAUCAUUUGCAAUUUCAAAGAACUGGCUAGUCCUGGCAGGGGCAAUCUUUCCCUGGACAGAAAAGCCCCAGAUUCUUGAAUAUCAAAAAUAGAGAAAAUAAGAAAAAUAUAGUCAAUAUCAUGUGGCCUGGGUUGCCAAGCAUCCCCUGAACCCUCCCUUCUACCUGCUGCAUGGUGCUCCAGGGCAUCUACCACUUUUACUCUCCAGUCUCUCAGUGUUUCCUUCAACCCAGUGUUGCCUUCGGUUUUCCACCACUACAAAUAAUACUUUAAUGAAAAUCCUCAUACAUACCUCCUUAUGGACCUAUGUAAGAAUUUCAUUGGGCUAUAUAUCUUAGAGUGGAAUUGCUGGGUCAGAGGGUGUGAGUAUAUUAAUUCAACUCAAUAAAGCUAGCCUGCACUCUAGAACUACUGCACUCUCACCAGUAAAGCAUUGAAGGGUCCUAUAAUCAGGUGACAUUUGCCAUGAUCUGUUUUUUUUUUUAAUUGUUCUAGCUUAAUGAGUACCAAGUAAUCAUUAAUUUGUAUACUAGUUUACAUUUCUCUUAUUUCUAAUAAGUGUGAUUUCAUUCAGCUUUGUUCCCUAGAACUACACAAUAUGUUUGCUAAACUGAUUCUAGGUAAGCAAUAAAUGGUGAAUGCAAAAUGACAGGCAGUUUUUCUUUGAGUUGCAGAUGUACAAUAUGCUUAGCUCUUGUUCAUCCCACCAGAAGCUCAUGGACAAAGCACUAACUACAACAGGCACAAAACUUUGAUUUUGACUUUGAUGGGUGAGACCAGAGACUGCUGCAACCACUUCAAAGACAAUAACUUGUGUAUUGAAUAUUUGUCCUAAAGUGACAGGUCAGGAAACCAGAAAGGGUACAAUUCCAGUAUCUUCUAGGUCAUUCAUACUUGAAGGCUGAAGGACUAGGAUGUAGAAGUGCAAAAAAACUAUUUCAUUUCUAUACUACUGGAUUCCACAGUAUGAAGCCACUGAAAUAUUGAAAUAGUCUAUUGAAUAUGAGCUAAUCAGAGCAGAAAUCUAGACAAUGGAGUAAAGAAUAGUAUUUAAUACCUGAAUUCUGUAAUAUAUACAUAUAGUUAUUUAUGUAAAUACAUGUGAAUGUGU